rnacentral:RNase_P_RNA from 1 species
UGGGUCGGCAAGACGGUCGCGUCGCAUUCCGGGCCCGAGAGGGCGCGGAAAGCGCCGAGGAACGUCCGGGCUCCGCAGAGCAGGGCGGUGGGUAACACCCACCCGGGGUAACCCGCGAGAAAGUGCAACAGAAAGCAGACCGCCACGGACUUCGGUUCGGGGUAAGGGUGAAACGGUGGUGUAAGAGACCACCAGCGGCCCGCGUGAUCGGGUCGGCUAGGUAAACCUCGCCAGGAGCAAGGUCAGACAGGAAGCGUUACGGGCUGCUCGCCUAGCUUCCGGGUAGACCGCUAGAGGUGUGCGGCAACGUACAUCGUAGAUAGAUGGCCGUCGAUGGUGUCGUUCCCGCAAGGGGGCGCACCGGGACAGAACCCGGCGUACUAGCCGGCCCAUUCA